UCAUUAUCCCGUGGUGAUUUGGCCGGUCGGCUUGCAGCCACGUUAAACAAGUCGCUAAAGGACCGUCGGGCCGAAAGGCC
rnacentral:ncRNA from 1 species